rfam:Oryza brachyantha chromosome 3, whole genome shotgun sequence.
ACGAAUCGUAUUUUUCGUUUUUUCGUGUCCAACGUUUGUCCAUUCAUCUUAUUUAAAAAAUGUGUAUAAAACUUUAAAAAAUUAGUCACGUAUAAAGUAUUAUUCAUAUUUUAUCAUCUAGUAACAAUUAAAAAUAUUAAUCGUAAAAAAAUUUCAAAUAAAAUAAAUGGUCAAACGUUGGACAUGGAAAAACAAAAAUAAGUUUAUU